ensembl:lncRNA
AUGGAGGAGACGGUGAUGAACCUCAGGCUUAGCCAAGACCGAGGCCAGGUAAACUACACUGGUUUGCUGCGUCCUUUGUCGGAUUACAACUUUAAAUGCAGGGAGACCCUGACUGUGCUGCUGGAUCUACUGGGAAGUGAACGGCAACAUGAAUGGUGUGCCAUGAUCCAGACCCUGGUGUUUCUCUUCUGUCUGCUAGUGGUACAUCAUACAGAUGGUCUCCAGAGUGUUUGACAUGUGCCUCGUUCCACUGUCACCACACUGUCCUCCGAGUCUCUGAGGUGCUGGCCAUUCACCAAGAGACUGACCUCCUGAAGACCCCAGAAAACACGGAGGCAGGGCUGGGCUCAAACUGAUGUUGUUUUUCUGAUGUUAAACCUAAGCUAUGUUGUAAAUGGUUGUAAAAAGUACUUUCUAUUAUGUAUAGAACAAUUUGUUUUAAUGUGUAAAAAAGUAUUUACAGGACAAACAAAUAAACAUAUAAAAGAAUGUUUUGUGAAAAAAAUUAUAAGCUACAUAAAAAAAAAAUACCAAUGUACAUAAGCACUUUUCUUUUAUUUACACAUGUGAAUAUGCAAAACAAAAAUACAAAAUGUACAGAAAGUACUCAGGCGUAUUUAUGAAUAAAUUACAAAAAAUGAAUAAUGUAUACAAUUUAUGCAUUUCAUUUUUAACUUGCGUCACAAAAAUAAACUACAGAAAUUAGGUUGUUUCAUUGACAAUAUGACAUUUAAAAAAUGUAUUGGAAAAACUGUAAUGUACUCAUUUUUUCCCACUGUUUUCUCUUGGCUAAUGAAGAAUGAAUUUGUUUGAGUUUGAUGGCCUCCCUGUCCACUCGCUCCCUCACCUGUCUCAGGACACUUCACAAAUAAACCUUGCCUGUUAACAACAAAAACACAUGCUCACUUUCUCCAGAAUAGUAUUAAAACAAAAGAAAAUGGAAACACUUAUGAAAAAAGACAGGUUUGCAAUCUUAACAUUAGAAAAUAUGACAUAGAAGGACAUGCAUACAAAAUACUGAAGUGCUUAAGUUUGGUUAAAACAUUUGUAGACAUCUCUUGCAUGAGUGCACUACAGAAACACAACAAAGGGAAAGACCAUUGCCUUAUAUAGUGGCUGUCUUAUUGUUUGUGGGCUUUAUGCUAAAAAAACCUGGCUUUAAACCCUUUUGCUACGUAUUUGAGCAAAUGAAAACACAAUACUUACAUUUCAAUGUGAAGUCCUCCACAGAACUCUCACCUGCCUCUGAAUAUAAAUACCUUCGUCAUAUGCACGCAAGUGAUUCUGGGAUAUUGUAGGGUGCGAAGUGUCCAUAAGAUGUACGCUUAAUUUUUAUGGGAAAUGAAGGGCGCAUUUGAAGUCGCUUUCGAAAUUCGUCAGCCUUCGUCGCGCCGCGGUGACGCAUUCGCACUUCAGAUGCGGUCUUCGAAGUGCGCAUUCUGACAUUGGGACAGCUUAUUUCGUGACGCUGUGACACUAUCGCACUUCGGAGUCCACACACUUCAGUUUGGGACACCCUUCGUCGCGCCACUGUGAUGCAUUCGCACUUCAAAUGCGCACUUCGGAGUCCAUGCACUUAAGUUCGGGACACAGCUACUGUUUGCUGAGUCUUGUUUAGCUGUAAUUGGACAAUUCAGAGCACUCUCUUGUUUGUCUUGCCUAGCCUUGCUAAGUUUUGAUCUUGGACUGUUUUUGUGAUCAUUUGCUGCCUCCCAGACCUUUACCUGUUUAUUGGAUUACUCUUUUAUUUUGACCUUGGACAUUAUUGUUUGCUGGUGAUUUGACCUUGCCUGUUUCAACCAUUCUUUUAAUAAAGCCUGCACCUACUCUGUUUUCACGCUCCCCGUCUUUUACAAAUUCAAUCUCAACUGGCAGCCCUAUUAGCUUUUCCCUUUGCUCAGUAUUACCCUCGACCCUCAACACACCUCAUCAAAUCCAAAUAAUCCUUUUUGCAAAGAAAAGGGAUCAGUUAAAGUGAAAAACAGGGAUUAUUGACAGGAGAAUAGGAAAGGGGAAUUUUUAGAGUACAGCAAGCCAUAAGUAACCUGACAAACAUGGAGGUUUUGAUGGGUGCUCUAUACAGAUGCAUUGGAAAGCAUCCAUUCUAGAGAGGAAAUAAAGCUAUGAUAACCACUGUGAUAUGUAAUUCAGCUAACAAAGCCCCUUUUCCACAGCUUGUGUGAGAGACAGCUAUGAAGCACACAAGAACAAUGCGAUCUCCACACAUUUCCCUCAACUAUCCCUUUUGUAGCAUUACUGAGAAUUAAAAGGAGAAAUCAGUUGAGUGUUACUGGGGUUCAAUGUGAAAUCAAAUGAAAAUGUAAAUGGAUAAUUUAAGGGCACUUACCUAUGGUAGAAAAAUAAUGUCAUGUGUGUUUGAAACAAAAAAGCAUGUUGAAUUGCACUAACUAAAAAUGCAUUGCAUUAAUAGUGCUUGCAUUUUGCUUAAAAUCUAAGUUUUAAUAGUUUUUUUUUUUUUUUUAAGAUGUGAAUAUUUAAAUUCAAAAUAUUCCACACACGUUUUCAUAAUUAAACAUUUAAUAAUUCAUAUUCACCUUCCAGAAUU